AUGCUGGUUAGUUCUGUUGUAUUUGCCAUUAUGUACAGUUGCUGAUAUUAUAUCAUGCACUCUUCUGAAUGCUGAAGUAACAGGAAUCACCAUAGUAAUUUCUUCUUUCUGCCUACAAGCUGGACGCCAUCAAAC